CCUACGGGAGGCAGCAGUGGGGAAUAUUGGACAAUGGGCGCAAGCCUGAUCCAGCCAUGCCGCGUGUGUGAAGAAGGCUUUCGGGUUGUAAAGCACUUUCAGCGAGGAAGAAAGCCUGGUGGUUAAUACCCGUCAGGAAGGACAUCACUCGCAGAAGAAGCCCCGGCUAACUCCGUGCCCGCAGCCGCGGUAAUACGGAGGGUGCGAGCGUUAAUCGGAAUUACUGGGCGUAAAGCGCGCGUAGGUGGCUUGGCACACCGGUUGUGAAAGCCCCGGGCUCAACCUGGGAACGGCAUCCGGAACGGCCAGGCUAGAGUGCAGGAGAGGAAGGUAGAAUUCCCGGUGUAGCGGUGAAAUGCGUAGAGAUCGGGAGGAAUCCCAGUGGCGAAGGCGGCCUUCUGGCCUGACACUGACACUGAGGUGCGAAAGCGUGGGUAGCCAACAGGAUUAGAUCCCCUGGUAGUCCCCCCCGUAAACGAUGUCGACUAGCCGUUGGGACC
rnacentral:rRNA from 1 species